rnacentral:rRNA from 1 species
CACACUGGAACUGAAACACGGUCCAGACUCCUACGGGAGGCAGCAGUGGGGAAUCUUGCACAAUGGGCGAAAGCCUGAUGCAGCGACGCCGCGUGGGGGAUGAAGCAUUUCGGUGUGUAAACCCCUUUCGACUGGGAAGAAAGCCUCGCAAGAGGACUGACGGUACCAGUAUAAGAAGCCCCGGCUAACUACGUGCCAGCAGCCGCGGUAAGACGUAGGGGGCCAGCGUUGUUCGGAAUUACUGGGUGUAAAGGGUUCAUAGGCGGUGUGGCAAGUUGGGAGUGAAAUCUCUGGGCUUAACCCAGAGGAUGCUUCCAAAACUGCUGUGCUUGAGUGUGAGAGAGGCUCGUGGAAUUGCAGGUGUAGCGGUGAAAUGCGUAGAUAUCUGCAGGAACACCCGUGGCGAAAGCGGCGAGCUGGAUCACAACUGACGCUGAGGAACGAAAGCUAGGGGAGCAAACAGGAUUAGAUACCCUGGUAGUCCUAGCCCUAAACGAUCAGGACUUGGGGU